GACGAACGCUGGCGGCGUGCUUAACACAUGCAAGUCGAACGGUAAGGCCCUUCGGGGUACACGAGUGGCGAACGGGUGAGUAACACGUGGGUGAUCUGCCCUGCACUUCGGGAUAAGCCUGGGAAACUGGGUCUAAUACCGGAUAGGACCACUGCCUGCAUGGGUGGUGGUGGAAAGCUUUUGCGGUGUGGGAUGGGCCCGCGGCCUAUCAGCUUGAUGGUGGGGUGAUGGCCUACCAAGGCGACGACGGGUAGCCGGCCUGAGAGGGUGACCGGCAACACUGGGACUGAGAUACGGCCCAGACUCCUACGGGAGGCAGCAGUGGGGAAUAUUGCACAAUGGGCGCAAGCCUGAUGCAGCGACGCCGCGUGAGGGAUGACGGCCUUCGGGUUGUAAACCUCUUUCAGCACCGACGAAGCGCAAGUGACGGUAGGUGCAGAAGAAGGACCGGCCAACUACGUGCCAGCAGCCGCCGUAAGAC
rnacentral:rRNA from 1 species